rnacentral:rRNA from 1 species
UAAGACGAAGGUGGCUAGCGUUGUUCGGUGUUACUGGGCUUAAAGAGUGUGUAGGCCGAAAAGUAAGCGCCCUGUGAAAGCCCCCGGCUUAACCGGGGAAUUGCUUGGCGAACUGCUUUUCUUGAGGCAAGUAGGGGUGCAUGGAACUCUUGGUGGAGCGGUGGAAUGCGUAGAUAUCAAGAGGAACGCCGGCGGUGAAAACGGUGUACUGGGCUUGUCCUGACGCUGAGACACGAAAGCGUGGGGAGCGAACGGGAUUAGAUACCCCGGUAGUCCACGCUGUAAACGAUGUCUACUAGGUUGUGGAAGUUCUGACGCUGCCACAGCCGAAGCAAAAGUGUUAAGUAGACCGCCUGGGGAGUACGGUCGCAAGGCUA